rnacentral:misc_RNA from 1 species
AAAAGGGAUGAUCCAGAUGAAGAUGUGGAUGCAGAGGUUGAUUGGGCUUUAAAGCAAGCAGGGAGCCUGGCCCUUGAUUGCAGUGAAAUUGGAGACGAUAGACCCCUUUUUGGAUGCUCGCUUUCACAUGAUGGAAAAAUGCUUGCGACCUGUUCUCUGAGUGGAAUAGCAAAGAUAUGGAGUAUGCCUCAAGUGCAAAAGGUUUCCACUCUAAAAGGUCACACUGAACGAGCUACUGAUGUUGUGUUCUCUCCGACAAGCAAUUAUUUAGCUACUGCAUCUGCUGACAAGACCGCAAGGUUAUGGAACUCAGAAGGUUCUCUCCUCAGAACUUUUGAGGGGCAUUUGGACCGUCUAGCUCGGAUUGCUUUUCAUCCUUCUGGAAAAUACUUGGGCACAGCUAGCUUCGACAAAACUUGGAGAUUAUGGAAUGUGGAGAGUGGUGAAGAGCUGCUUUUGCAAGAAGGUCACAGUAGGAGUGUUUAUGGAUUGUCUUUUCACCAUGAUGGUUCAUUAGUGGCAUCAUGCGGGUUGGAUGCACUUGUUCGAGUGUGGGAUUUAAGGACUGGGCGAAGUAUUCUUGCUCUAGAAGGCCACGUAAAACCGGUUCUUGGUGUCAGUUUUUCACCGAAUGGUUAUCAUUUGGCUAGUGGUGGUGAAGAUAAUACCUGUCGUAUUUGGGACUUGCGGCAGAGAAGAUCUUCUUACAUCAUACCAGCUCACUCCAAUCUUAUCUCUCAAGUUAAAUUUGAGCCUCAGGAGGGAUACUUUUUGGCUACAGCUUCGUAUGAUAUGACUGCUAAGGUAUGGUCAUCAAGAGAUUUCAAACCUGUAAAAACACUUUCUGGUCAUGAAGCAAAAAUCAUGUCAUUGGAUGUUGCAUCAGAUGGACAAUUCAUUACAACCGUGUCUUAUGAUCGAACAAUCAAGCUAUGGUCAAGCAAAAACAUUGAGAAGGAAGAGAAAAUGGAUAUGGACUAGAUUUUCACCUUGCUACCAUUUUCAGAGUCGAGUGUGUUGAUUUAUGUGUUACUAAUCUCUGUAGAAAAUUGAAGCACAUAGGCGCUUUGCUGGUUAUGUAUUUUGUAAAGCCUUUGUCAACCAAUGAAGUAGUGACAUCCUCUACUGUUCAAGACGGACCCCAGGAUUUCGUUUGUGUGCUGAUCCUUGGGUCUUGCUUGAGUUGAGAACACCACGAGACAGUUGUUGUACUGCAAUUGUGGUGUGCAGAUUUUCAGUGCAUUUCCGAGAAGAUAGAGAAAUUAAACAACAUUAUGGCAAACUUUUGCCAUUUUCAUUUGUCUGACCUGUUUAUGAAAGUGCUUCUCUCGAAUCCUUCAUCAGUGUUUGUAAAUAACAAAUUAGGCAAAGAUCCUCUGUUACAGACAUGAAUACGUCUUGCAACAUCAAAAUCUUACAAAGAAAGCUAAGUACAACAUUGCAGUUUCUAACAAAAUUCUCCUAGGGAAUCGGUAUAGGUUACAAGUUUCAACUAUCAUGCAUGAAUGUAUAUGGCUGUUACUGUCUUCAAAAUACGGUAUCUUCGUUUCUUCAUAAAAUUAAAAAGAAAACUCUUCACGCAGGUUUAAAGUUAAAUCUUCUGAUGGAGUUGAAAUAGCUCUUCUCGUAUCACAGCUUCAUUUGUACCAACCCGUAAGGAGCCAUCUCAGCAGAAAACAGAAGCCACAGCACAUGGCCUGGAAGACUAGUAGCGUGACACAAAGGGACUGUUCUGACAUUCUGCCCAAUUGCCUUAAGAAAAGGUUCACUAGCGUCCCAUCAUUUGUUCCGGUCAAUAAUAAAGAGACGCUGGCAGCAUCCAUUAAUGCUGUUCUAACUACCUUCACGGGAUCAAUAAUUCCAGCCUUCACCAUGUGUAGGUACGUACCUUUGGCUGCAUCAUAUCCUAGAUUCAGAUCAUCUUGUUCUAAGAGCUUGCCUACAACCAAGGCACCGUCUGCACCAGCAUUUGAAGCUAUUGUAAAAGUAGGUGCCUUUAGAGCAUUCUCAAUGAUCUCAACUCCCCUUUUUUGGCCAUCAUUUGCAGUCUGAAGGCCUUUUAGACAUUUGGUUGCAUAUAAGAGAGCAACACCACCACCUGGAACAAUGCCCUCUUCCACAGCAGCCCUUGUUGCAUUUAAGGCAUCUGUAACCCUAUCUUUCCUUUCCCCAACCUCCGCCUCACUGGCCCCACCGACCUUGAAAACAGCAACACCACCAGAUAGCUUUGACAAACGCUCUUGAGCUUUCUCCUUAUCAAACAUGGCACUACUUUUUUCUUUAGCUAUCCUUAGCUGCUCACACCUUUCUUCAAUUAGCUUUUUGUCCCCACCUCCAUGCAGAACUAGGGUGUCAUCAAGGGAAACAGUAACCUUUUUGGCAGUACCAAGCAUAUCAAAUUGAACUUUGCUCAGAUCCAAACCACGUUCUUCACUAAUGACCUCUCCUCCAGUAAGAACUGCUAGGUCCUCCAAGUUGGCUCUUCUAUUAUCCCCAAAACCAGGAG